CUUUUGCGCACAUAAGCCUUGUGUUAAGAUGAAAGUGUAACACAUGUAGCUAGAUGAGUCUCUUGUUGAAGUUUCUUAUGUGAGAAUUGGUGAGGAUUGAGAGCCACAAUAUACUAAAAAUGUAAUAAGCGUUCAUUGAUUGUGUGAAUUGGGAACUUCUUUUGAGAAUAACAUUACACGGUAUGUGGUAAGAUGGUGGUUUAUACUUGGGAAAUGAUAACAGUCAAUUUAGGAUUGAAUUUGAGCCUUCAGACUAGUUCUUUUCCAUAAUUAUAAUCCCCUAGUAGCCACUUUGAGCUAAUACACAUACAUAACCAUUUCUUU
rnacentral:lncRNA from 1 species